rnacentral:rRNA from 1 species
GACGAACGCUGGCAGCGUGCUUAACACAUGCAAGUCGAACGGAAAGGCCCUGCUUUUGUGGGGUGCUCGAGUGGCGAACGGGUGAGUAACACGUGAGUAACCUGCCCUUGACUUUGGGAUAACUUCAGGAAACUGGGGCUAAUACCGGAUAGGAGCUCCUGCUGCAUGGUGGGGGUUGGAAAGUUUCGGCGGUUGGGGAUGGACUCGCGGCUUAUCAGCUUGUUGGUGGGGUAGUGGCUUACCAAGGCUUUGACGGGUAGCCGGCCUGAGAGGGUGACCGGCCACAUUGGGACUGAGAUACGGCCCAGACUCCUACGGGAGGCAGCAGUGGGGAAUAUUGCACAAUGGGCGGAAGCCUGAUGCAGCAACGCCGCGUGCGGGAUGACGGCCUUCGGGUUGUAAACCGCUUUCGCCUGUGACGAAGCGUGAGUGACGGGAAUGGGUAAAGAAGCACCGGCUAACUACGUGCCAGCAGCCGCGGUGAUACGUAGGGUGCGAGCGUUGUCCGGAUUUAUUGGGCGUAAAGGGCUCGUAGGUGGUUGAUCGCGUCGGAAGUGUAAUCUUGGGGCUUAACCCUGAGCGUGCUUUCGAUACGGGUUGACUUGAGGAAGGUAGGGGAGAAUGGAAUUCCUGGUGGAGCGGUGGAAUGCGCAGAUAUCAGGAGGAACACCAGUGGCGAAGGCGGUUCUCUGGGCCUUUCCUGACGCUGAGGAGCGAAAGCGUGGGGAGCGAACAGGCUUAGAUACCCUGGUAGUCCGCGCUGUAAACGGUGGGUACUAGGUGUGGGGUCCAUUCCACGGGUUCCGUGCCGUAGCUAACGCUUUAAGUACCCCGCCUGGGGAGUACGGCCGCAAGGCUAAAACUCAAAGGAAUUGACGGGGCCCCGCACAAGCGGCGGAGCAUGCGGAUUAAUUCGAUGCAACGCGUAGAACCUUACCUGGGUUUGACAUGGAUCGGGAGUGCUCAGAGAUGGGUGUGCCUCUUUUGGGGUCGGUUCACAGGUGGUGCAUGGCUGUCGUCAGCUCGUGUCGUGAGAUGUUGGGUUAAGUCCCGCAACGAGCGCAACCCUUGUUCACUGUUGCCAGCACGUUAUGGUGGGGACUCAGUGGAGACCGCCGGGGUCAACUCGGAGGAAGGUGGGGAUGACGUCAAGUCAUCAUGCCCCUUAUGUCCAGGGCUUCACGCAUGCUACAAUGGCUGGUACAGAGAGUGGCGAGCCUGUGAGGGUGAGCGAAUCUCGGAAAGCCGGUCUCAGUUCGGAUUGGGGUCUGCAACUCGACCUCAUGAAGUCGGAGUCGCUAGUAAUCGCAGAUCAGCAACGCUGCGGUGAAUACGUUCCCGGG